rnacentral:lncRNA from 1 species
AAAAGCUAUUACUUGUACCGAAAUUUUGCAGUUUUUAGCUAUUAUCUUAGAUAUUAUUAUAUCUAAUACUAUAAACUAUGAUUUUAACCUUAUUUUACAUGAUUUCCAAAGCAUCAGUCAAUACAGGUGAGAGACACAGGCUCUUUAGAGCUUCUAGCUGUUUAUGUUGUACAAAACUAAGCUUAUACUGUUAUUGACCAACCGACAGACACUAUAACUAUUAAAUGAAAAUAAAUAUAAUAACUUAAAUGAUAUAGAUAAAUUAAAACAUAUCCUCAAUCCUGAAACAAAACAGGACACUUGCAAAUUAGGCUCCUUCUUAAAAAAGUCACUAAGACCGAGGACAGGGAGUCCUUGAUAUAAUUUGAAUCUCUUAUAUAUAUAUAUAUAUUGAUUUAAAGAAAGACAAGGAGUAUAGUUCAAAGUGUCUACAUUGUUUAUUUUCAUUGUUUUAUAUAUGUAAAUUGUAUAUUAUGUAUCAUGUUUUAAGCCAUUGGCCCAUAUGGGUGUAAAGUGCUUUUCAAUAAAGAAUUAAAAAAAUAACAAAAGUAUGCUCUCCAAAAAAAGCGAAAAUAACCCCCACCCCAAAAAAAUAAAAUAAACAGCUAUAGGGUAUCUUUUGAUUGUAAGAAGUUUGGUAAAAAUUCAGGAUAGAUUUUGAAUCAAAUAAAUGUUUUAAAAACUUUUAACUGAAGACUGUAUGUAAUGCUAACUGGAAGAAAAACUAAGUCAAUUUAUAAGUAAAAUACAGCAAACCAGGAACAAAAAUGUUCUGCUAGGUAAUAGCUACGGAUCAUAAACAAGCUUUUGGCCAAGUCCGGUAUAAUUACAAGAUAGUUUUAGAAAAUUAUUAAAAGUUUAAAGACUUUAAACGCAGAGUGAAUGUUAUGUUUCCUAGGAGAAAAACUAAGUCGAUUUAUAAGGAAAAAAAUACGGAAAAAAUGAAAAAAUUUUACAAAAUUUUAUUCUUGAUAUUUUUAUGAUCCUAAACAGGUGAGUGAAUGAAAUGCUUCGUGGCAGAAAAAUAUAUGUUCACUUUAGUUAAAUAUGAAAAAAAACAGGAUAUUUUUUUUUCAAAUUUACUCCUAGAUACUAUCUUAUGGUCAUUAACAAGUUUCUGUCCCAGUUUGGCAGAAAUUCAGGACAGUUUAAGAAAGUCAUUAUAAUUUAAAAAACCUUAACCACAUGGUCAGUAGUUGUGGAUGACAACGUCAGAAUGUAGGAUCCCUAUGUCUCUUUUUUAGCUCACCUAAAGGGCCAAGUGAGCUUUUCCCAUCACUUGGCGUCCGUCGUCCGUCGUUGUCGUCGUCCGUCGUCGUUAACUUUUACAAAAAUCUUCUCCUCUGAAACUACUGGGCCGAAUUAAACCAAACUUGACCACAAUCAUCAUUGGGGUAUCUAGUUUAAAAUAUGAUAAAACACCCUAGUCUGGCAUUUGUGACAUCCUAGUCAUACACAAUCAACUUGAUAAUCCAUAAAGACAUCAUAUCUUUGUAAUAACUGUUCUAUUGUAUCUAUCACACCUUCAUUUAUAAUGUCUUCAUCUAACACCCCAGUCAUGCCCUCAUAGCACCCUAGUAAGGCAUUUGGGACAUCCCAGUCAUAUACAAUCAACCAUUUAAUACAUACAGACAUCAUAUCUUUGUAAUAAUUGUUCUAUUGUAUCUAUCACACCUUCAUUUAUGAUGUCUUCAUCUAACACCCC